rnacentral:lncRNA from 1 species
UCUAUAGUUAAAUAAAGCAAAGAUCUAAUCAUACCUCAAUAUAGCUUGGGAUCUACUGCCUUUUCUUUUAGAUCUUGAUCAAGCUUACAACUUGUGCUCAUAGGGAUGCCACUUCCUUUAACAUUCUCCAUUCCAAAUUUUAUUAAUAUCUCCUUGAUGUAUUUGCUUUAGUUGAUGAAGAUCUCCUCAUUUGAUUGCUUAAUCUGGAGUCUGAGAAAGAAGUUCAGCUCUCCCAUCAUACUCAU